UAUCUCUGUAGAGUCUGCAUAUCAAUAAGCGGAGGAAAAGAAACUAACUAGGAUUCCCUCAGUAACGGCGAGUGAAGCGGGAAGAGCUCAAAUUUGAAAUCUUCAAGGUUUUACCUUGACGAAUUGUAGUUUAAAGAAGUGUUUUCUGUUGGUAGUUUUGGUAAAAGUUCUUUGGAAUAGGACAUCAUAGAGGGUGAGAAUCCCGUAUUUGACCAUUACUUUCCAGCUUUGUGAUACACUUUCAAAGAGUCGGAUUGUUUGGGAAUGCAGUCCAAAAUGGGUGGUAAAUUUCAUCUAAAGCUAAAUAUUGGCGAGAGACCGAUAGCGAACAAGUACCGUGAGGGAAAGAUGAAAAGAACUUUGAGAAGAGAGUUAAACAGUACGUGAAAUUGUCAAAAGGGAAGCGUUUGACACCAGUGUUGUUUUCUCGAAAAUCAAUUAAAAAAGGCAGGAUUUUGUGUUGUAUUGACUUUAUCAGCUUUCUGCACUCUUUUCUUGUCCUUUUUUAAUGCACUUUUCGUUUAACAAGUCAACAUCAAUUUCUUUUGUUGUAAAAGAGUCAUUGGAAGGUGGCUUUCACUUUCGGAUGAAAGUGUUUAUAGCCUUUGGCUUCUGCAAUCGGAGAGAUUGAGGUCUGCAGCGUAGAUCCUUCGGGGUUAGAUACAUUUGUGCUAAGUUAUAGCCUUUCAUAGACAACUUGUUGACUAUGAUCAGUCAUGUAGCUUACUCGCUUAUGCUAUUUUACCUACGCUUAGGAUGUUGAAGUCAUCGUAUCGCGC
rnacentral:rRNA from 1 species